rnacentral:misc_RNA from 1 species
AUACUUCACACCGAAGGAUUCAGGUAAAUAAUUAAUUCUAUGCUAUUAUUAUUAUUAUUAUAAGAAAGAUCGAAUGGACUUGUAUGUUUUGUGGUCUAUCCAAGGUCGUCUUCCCAUUCUAUAUCUAUUUUAUGGUAAUAAUGAGAAUUCCAAUCAAUUUCAGUAAAUUAUAGCUAAUAUGCUAAUCAAUUUACUAAAUCUUGG